rnacentral:rRNA from 1 species
UACGGAGGGGGCUAGCGUUGUUCGGAAUUACUGGGCGUAAAGCGUACGUAGGCGGCUUUGUAAGUUAGAGGUGAAAGCCCGGGGCUCAACUCCGGAAUUGCCUUUAAGACUGCAUCGCUUGAGUCAUGGAGAGGUUAGUGGAAUUCCGAGUGUAGAGGUGAAAUUCGUAGAUAUUCGGAAGAACACCAGUGGCGAAGGCGACUAACUGGACAUGUAUUGACGCUGAGGUACGAAAGCGUGGGGAGCAAACAGG